rnacentral:lncRNA from 1 species
AUGUUCACACAUAGCCUCAGUUUAUUUGCUCUGUACCCUGUCUGGACACUUGUCAUUUCUCAAGUCUCUAAUUUGAACUGUAACCACACAGGAAAUGGUGAAGAAUCUAGAAUAAUUGGGGGGAAGGAUCUACAAAAGCCAAGGAGACUGACCUAUACUCAUCUCAUCUGGGCAUGCACCUUAACUUUAGUAACUUUGAAAUAUGAAAAACUCUUACUUUGUAAACUGGUAAAUGUCAAUUUUUAUAUUACUGGCCUAACAUCUAAUAAUAAAAUCAAGAAAAAGAAAUUUUAAAGGACUGACCAACAUAUACCACUGAUAAAGUUUUAGGUCUUAUUAUUCCCCCCCUUUAUUAAGUGAAACUUAGAUUGCAAAGUGAUAUGUUCCAUGUGAUCCUAUAUUAUUAAAAAUAUGUUCAUAAAAAAGAAUCUUUCUGAAACCAUACAGAGUUUAUAGAUGGCUUUUGCACAUUUAUUUCUUCAAUAAAUCUGUAAUUUAGGGAGAACAGAUAGUAUUAUUAUUUAUAUUUUGUACACAGGGGAAGAGGAACGCAAAGCUUAUCUGUGAGUACGUAUCUAACAAAUGGCAGAGCUAGAACACAAGCUCGAGUCUUCUGACUACAGAUCUUUCUUGAUAGUGUCCCGUUGACGCACAGCUAAAAAUCACAAGGUUUCAUUUGAACCUCAUGUGCCACUGUUUGCAUAAAUGUGACAAACACGUAUUAUGAAAUAACUCAUGUGCCAUAAGUGCGUAACACCAAUAUCGGUCCUUUUCCCACUCACACUUGUUCAACUGCUCUCAUACCACCUGCACAUUUCACCGUGCCCAUCGCCAGUGCCAUCUUACAUCAUUUUGUGCAAUAGUUUGAUUCAUGUGUUUCUCUCUCACUGGACUAUAAACCCCCCACCCUUCCCGAGGGGAGAGAGCAUACCUGAUUUUGCACACACUGAAUUCCCAAUAGAGUUCUCGACUCAUAAUAAGUGCUCAGGAAAUAUUUGUUGAAAGAAUAAAUGAAUGGCAGGUUAAGACAGGGCAGCUAGUGCUUUGAUUUGGGGUUCUGUUCUCAACCAGAAAUCAGUGGGGCCUAUGAGAGACUAAGGUCAAGGGAAAGUAUUCAUGAAAGUGUUUGCAGGUUGUCCUUGGAUCCUGGUGGGAACCAGAGAAGAAAGCAGCAUCCUUUCCAGCUCGUGUGAAGGGAAAUGUGUGUGGCUUUCCUCCUGGGGAGGCCCCUCCAUGGCUCUUUCCUUUCCUUUCCUUCACCUUGGCUGUUGAGCAACGGCCAUGGGUAGUAGGA